UGUUUUCUCUCAAUGAAGUCUUCCUUGUCACUUAAGUCUCAGUUUAGUUGCUAAAUUCUCAAAAAAUCAAAAAAAAAAAAAAAAUUCCUGAGUCUUUCUCCUGUUCCCUUUGGUAAGAACUAAUUGAUACUCCUUCUAUCCUAACAUUUAAACCUUAAUGAUAAUUUUUAGAAGCAUAGUUGUAACAUACUCUUAAAACAUCAUAAUGUCUGGCAAUAUUAGAUUCUAGGUUGUCACUACAAGAAAAACUUCAGUCACUAUACAUUCAUGUUGAAAACCUUCAAGAAAAAAACUAUUUAGAAAUGUACUUUUUAAAAUGAAAGGAGUCAGAUUUAAGAAAAAAUUGAAGUCCUUAAAAUAUGCCUCUUGAAUCUAGGCAUUUACUUUAUUCAGGGUCAUUCAUUCCUUUUGUACUUGUAGUAUUUUUUAAAGAAUCUUGUAUUAAGACCACACCUAAAAUGUUUUUGUGGAAAUUAUAGGUAAAUAACAAGUUUUCUCAUUAAAAUAGAUGAAUACAUGUGUAGUCUCUUAAUAUACCUUUUAUCCUACUAUAAUGAUAAUAGUGAUAAUGGACAUUCUUGUCUUGUUUCAGAUCUAAAUAAUGUAUUUUUAGGUUUCUUCACUAAGUGUGAUACUGGCUUUUAAGCCUGUGUAUUAUGCAUAUAUAUAUUUCCCAUGUUAAAUAUCUACUUAUUUUAUUGACUUGUGAGAUGUGUUAAGUUUAUCAGAUUUAAGUGCCUGUGGAGAUAAAAAUAUUUUUCCUAAUGUUUUUUCAUGGCAAAACUAAAUAAAUAAAUUUUAUUAUAUUGAA